rnacentral:lncRNA from 14 species
CUUACAAGUAUCUUUUUAGCACUUUUUCAAGCUUUUUCUUAACCUCUGGGGAGGAGGGUAAGCUCCUUAAUCACCUUUAAUGUGUUUUUUUCCUCUUCUCCACAGAAAUCUGCAUAUAAGGUCCUGUGCAUCUCCUCUCUUCAUAUAAUCUCAUUCAAGUAAUUGAGUAAUCCAAGUAAAAUCCAAGUAAUCCAACUGAGACUGGGAAACUUGAUAUCCCAUUGGCAAGCAUCUUUUGGAUUCCGCAGAAGGACUGUAUUCAAACAGGAACAGAGAAUUAAGGAGGACUCAGAGAGGUGAAGAUGGAAGAAGGUUCAAUGUGGAAAAACAGAGCAUACAUGGACAGGAAAUGGCUACUGAAAAUGGAAAGUCAAUUCAAACAGCAAACAUAAUGCCUUAAGAAGAGAGUGCCAUGAACUGAAAUUUUGGAGUCAUAUGUCUGCUCGUAGUACCAGCAUCCUCAGCUUUGGGGAUAGCAACAGGAA